ensembl:rRNA 5S_rRNA 5S ribosomal RNA
GCUUACGGCCAUACCACCCUGAGCGCGCCCGAUCUCGUCUGAUCUCGGAAGCUAAGCUUGGUCGGGCCUGGUUAGUACUUGGAUGGGAGACCGCCUGGGAAUACCAAGUGCUGUAAGCU